UGAAAUUUUGAAUUAAUUUUUUUAACAGUUCAAUGUAAGUAAAGAUAAUAAUAAAUUCUUUUUCUUAGAGAAGAACAAGGUUUAUAAACAAGUUUUAUAAGAAUCAAAGGAAACUAUAAUUCUGCCUGCAACAAGUAUAAACCAGUCAAUCUAUAUCCGAAAAAACUAGAUCGAUUUGUUGAUCUAUAAAAAUUCAAUUCCAACGUAGAGAAAAACGAUUCAAUGGAAACUUUGUUCCACGAUCGAGUGACAUAAAUGGAAUGCGUGAUGAAAAAAUUUAAUUUAUUGAAGGCGUUGUUUUCCAUUACGGGAAAACAACGAAAGAAGGAAAUAUGUCGUCGAAAAGAGUUCUUCAGGACGCGGAGCAAGUUUUAGAGAUCACAUCAUUUAAAAGGAGACAUUGUUUCACGAGCUAAAAAGCUGAAAGUGACCAGUCACCAAGAAAGUUGCUAGUCGAUAAGAAUUAGUAAUGCGAACUGGCUAAAUAUGACUAGAUACUUCUUAUUGUUAUAGUCAAGUAGAUAAGAACAAAGGGCCGGCAUUGCGAAAGGAAAAGGAGGAACGUUAAUGGCCUUUCCAACGAGGAGAACUUGACAAAUAGUGGUCGACGGCGAUGAAAGAGCGGCUGCGUUUCGUUACACGGCCGCGUAACGAGUUCGGUCUUUCAGAGCGGGAAAAGGGUCGACCAUAAAGAACCGAGGCGAUGCGGAGGACAGCCUGGAUCGGGAGCUUUUGUGACUACCUACUGCCUACGCGAGCCUAAGAUAUAUCACGUGUCUGGAACAGUCGAGGGAAACGAGCGAGGGAAAAUUUGAAAAACGCAAUGUCCGAGGCCAGGAUAUAAAUUAACAUACACCAAUGUGCCAGAAUUGGCGAAAGAACGAAGUAGAAAAAGCAAGAAACGAGAAGAAAAGAAGAAAGAGAAGGGCGAUCGCAAUGGACACCUUCCGUUCUAUCGGAGGGUGGAAGAUUUGAGAUAUCGGAUCGAAGGGAAAGCUGAAAAUACGGGGAGGUCAAGUAGCAGCGAAUACAUUCGAGAUAAAGGCGGCGGGCCGAUGUCAAGGCUACCGUGAGACACGUCUCGAUAGCGACGCGUGGAAAAAUACGAUGCGGCUGGUAAAUUGCGAAGCGAAACGUCUCGAGGCUUCCUUGAUCGGCUGAUAUAUCGGCGCUCGAAACGACGACGUGACUUCGAAGCGACGUCGGCGAUCCUCUCGAAGCCGCCUCGAGGGGAACACCUUAAAUGGUGCACACGCCUAUGGUCCUUUGGUUCCACGCCGAUUAAUAGGCAAUAAAUAACGAGCAUAAACGGUGUUAUCUUAUUAAGAUACAUCAACGUCCGGUAUUUCCAUUAUCGUGCCGGCUUUUAACGUUCCGACGAUGGAAAAUGGAAACGGGGGAGGGGGUAAAUACGUGUGCUCGGGGAACCUUAGAGGCCAGUUUCGUGUUUUAUUAGAGGUACACCACUUAUGGUAUUGUGGCACACGAUUCUGUGGCUUCGAUCAUGAGAACGGGGUUACUGAGAUUACCGGUAUGUACGUAGGUAAUGUUUAUGUUGAACAAAAUGGAUCGAAUGCUUCGAAAUGUAGGGGAUAUCGAGGGAGCAAUUGCAGUAUGGAUGGAGGAGAGAAGUGGGUGAAGAAGUGAAAGGAAACAGUAGGAUACCUCUUGUGAAAUAUUUAGUUCGUCAAUGAGAUGGAAAGGUUAAUGGUGCGUUUAGAUAUUUAUACAUGAAUUUCUAUAUAUCUAAAAAAAAAAAGAUGAAUCAAAUUUUUGUGCGAAUAAAGAUUCAUUUUUACCAAAUGUGUAGUAAAAAAUGUAAUAAAUAAUUGUUUAAUAAUGUA
rnacentral:lncRNA from 1 species